AUUGAACGCUGGCGGCAGGCUUAACACAUGCAAGUCGAGCGGAGUGAUGGUGCUUGCACUAUCACUUAGCGGCGGACGGGUGAGUAAUGCUUAGGAAUCUGCCAUUUAGUGGGGGACAACAUUCCGAAAGGAAUGCUAAUACCGCAUACGUCCUACGGGAGAAAGCAGGGGAUCUUCGGACCUUGCGCUAAAUGAUGAGCCUAAGUCGGAUUAGCUAGUUGGUGGGGUAAAGGCCUACCAAGGCGACGAUCUGUAGCGGGUCUGAGAGGAUGAUCCGCCACACUGGGACUGAGACACGGCCCAGACUCCUACGGGAGGCAGCAGUGGGGAAUAUUGGACAAUGGGCGGAAGCCUGAUCCAGCCAUGCCGCGUGUGUGAAGAAGGCCUUUUGGUUGUAAAGCACUUUAAGCGAGGAGGAGGCUCUCCUAGUUAAUACCUAGGAAGAGUGGACGUUACUCGCAGAAUAAGCACCGGCUAACUCUGUGCCAGCAGCCGCCGUAAAAC
rnacentral:rRNA from 1 species